rnacentral:lncRNA from 1 species
GUUUUUUUUUUGUAGUGGGAAAAAUUCCUAAGCAACCGAAUAUGGACGUAUGUAAUAAUAGUUAUCAUAGAUCGCAGAGGGCGGAAUGCAUAAUUGCUAUGAAACAUUUUUUUAAGCUUGGCAUUGGUGAAUAAGAUGCAAUGAAAAUGUACAAGAAUAAGUACAAAUUCACCUCGGAGGUGGUAGCAUAUGGCUGCAUCUACCAACUUGCACACAAAACAUCUAUGGUCUAUGAACACCUGACUGAUGCUUUAGAUGAAUUUAUUGGCAGUGUGGUUUUUGGUUAGCCACUGAUGUUCUAGUUCAUGUCUCGAGUUUGUGAAGAUGAGCGGAAGAGCCAGAUAUGGGUCACAGAGGAUGGCACUAUGGAUAAAUAUAACGACUCAUUUGAGGAUGUCCUCCUACUCCAAAACAAUCCACAGUUAAUGGACAAAAACUUCAACAUCCUCCGGGAGAGAAUCGGCACAAACACAUUACAAAUAGAGAUGCUAGCAUACAAAUACACCAACUGAAAGAACAUGCGGUGCCCCAUGUUUGGUUUUGGUAAUUGAUAACAAUCUCUAUGGACUAAUGGUUGCCUUGAGUUAUAUUUGAAGGUUUUGUCCAUAGGCUUUUCUUGGAGUACAUGUGUUUGUUUCAAGGAGAGUUUGUGUCUAUCAAGGUGUUAUUCAAGGAAUUAUCCAAAGAUUAGUCAUGUGAGAGUUGAGCUUAUUGCAAGCAUGUCUUGAAGAAGAAGAUUGUGUGAUCAUUCAUGUCUACCUUUGUAACGCCCGGAUAAUUAAGCUACAGUAAUUUUCUGCUGAUGAUGCCACGUCAUCACUGUUACUGUUGUUAAACUCGCGUUGGUUCGUAUCCGGUCCAAAUUUAAAUUUAAAAUAAAGUCAAAAAUAAAAGUUUUUUUUUAAUGUCAAAACCAAAAUGUGCAGGCUGUGGAAAAUAAUUCAUAAAUAUUAUUGGAGAAGAAACCAAAUUCUUAUAAGAUGUUUAGGUGCUCAAAAAUAAAUAAAACAGUGGCUUAAACAAUUAUUCAAAUGCCUUUUGUAAUUUCUAAAAUGUUAAGCUAUUUUAUUUUUGGGUGAAACUUUUUGUGGCAUUGGUAUAAUUAGGAAUAAUAUUUUAGGAACAAAUUCUAUAUUUUAUAGAACUCUAAUAAAUUAAAAGUUGAGUGAAAACAGAGCAGAAAAUAAACAAUAGAAAAAUAAAACCCAAACAACAAAACAAAACAAAUCCCCUCCCCAUCUCCCCUGUUCACGCGAUCGUGGACACCGGCGAUGGCCGCCACGGCAGAGGGCGUCGCCGUGGCGCCCAUCCGCCACCCCUCCGGCGCCUACUUAACCGGUGUCCCCCCUCUCCACGCGAACCCUAAUCCCCACUUCCCCCCUUGCGCCCCCAACCCCUCGAGCCCGCCCCGUGGAUGCCCGGAGCCGCGUCGCCAUUGGUCCUCGCCUUCCCGUCGCCUCGUCGACACGUCUUCCUCCGCCACGGACACCGCACACUCAUCGUCGAUUCGUUUCACCACGAGUCCCUCCAGCAUCACCGAGCAGCUCCUAGUCAACAAUGUGAGCAGGCGCCCGAACCCCUUCUGUUUCACCAUCUAAUCCGUGCCCAUUGCCUAGCUAGACGUCGCGUCCGAAGCUCACCAUCGCAGUUCAUGUCGCCACCGCGGCCACUGCUCGCGAAGCUCACGACGAGCUCCGCUUCGUGUUCCUGGAGUUCUCAGGAACCCGUAGCACCCAACCCCGUCGCUUCCCGUGUCCUACAUCGCCUCCUUGAGUUCUCCAUGGCGCCAUCGAAGCAUCGCGUCCGCGCUCCUGCGCGCUCGUGUAACCGCCGCGGCCUGUCCGUGCCCACCUGCGCUGCUGCCGCUAGUUGCUUCUGCUGCUGAUGGCUGCUGCUCUCGCCGCCGUUCUCUGCCACUUGUGUUCGCCUGCAACUUUGCUGCUGUCGCCGGCGCUCCCUGCGUGCGCCCGCCGGAGCACCCCGGCCGCGCCCGCGCAUACGCGCGCCCGUCCGCCUCGUGCACGGCUUUGCCUCCCCUGCUGCAGCGCCCCAGCCCGCUUGCUCCCACCGCUACUUGCUGUAUUGAUGCUUGUACUGUAGUCUGUAGGUGCUGCUAGCUAGCUUUGCAAAUCCUACACUAACUAACCCUUUGGACAGCCUCUAAACAUACACUAAACAAUUGUUAACAGGUCUAAGAAGAAUAUGAGUAGAAAGUAUACUUGACAAACUUCAUUUUAUCCCACUGGACCAAAUCCUUUCGAUGCAUCGAUUAAAUCCUAUAAAAAUCACAAAAUGCCAUCUUCUCUUACACCUAGCAUUGUGUGUGUAUACAGCCACCACUGCCCGGGCCGUACAAAUUAGUUUAGGGGAUAAUUUCUAGUUAGUUUAAUUGCUAGCCAAUGAUAAGAGGGGCCCAUGUUUAGAUUAGAUAAAUCUACUUAGGAAUUUAAUAAAACUAAUUAACUUUUAGUUAAUUUCGCUGACAUGUGGCCCUGCUGUAAAUUAAAAUGAUAGAUUAAACUAAAAGUGCCUAAGUCUAUGACAGCCGGGACCCACCUUUACUAUUCACUGCUGACUGGACCCUCCCUGACCCACUGUCAGCCUCUGUGUACACAAAGCUGGCUACACAUAGCAAUUUGUUAUUUAAUUUUGAAUUAAAAUAAUUUCAAAAUAUUGUUUAAAUCUUUGAAAAAUCAUAGAAAAUAAUCCGUAACUCGGAUGAAAAAGUUUUAUACAUGAAAGUUGCUCAGAACAACGAGACGAAUCCGGAUACGCAGCCCGUUCGUCCGCCACGCAUCCCGAGCAUAGUGAACAUACAAAUUUUCCCCUCCGAUUCAUCUGUCCGAAAACGCGAAACACCGAGGAUAUUUUCCCGGAUGUUUCCCCCCUUCACCGGUAUCACCUCAUACCGUGUUAGGGCACCCCUAGCACCGUUACUUGACAUGUCAUGCAUCGUCAUGCAUCUGUUUGCUUAAUAUUUAUUGUUUCUUUCCCCUCUUCUCUCGCUAGACACCGAGACCGACGCCGCUGCUACCCAGUACGACUACGGUGUUGACGAUCCCUUUCUCUUGCCAGAGCAACCAGGCAAGACCCCCCUCUUGAUCACCAGAUAUUGCUUACUCUUCUCUAUACUGCUUGCAUUAGAGUAGUGUAGCAUGUUACUGCUUUCCGUUAAUCCUAUCCUGAUGCAUAGCCUGUCAUUGUUGCUACAAUUGUUGAUACCUUACCUGCAAUCCUGCAUGCUUAGUAUAGGUUGCUAGUAGUUCAUCAGUGGCCCUACAUUCUUGUCCGUCUUCCAUGCUAUACUUUCGGGCCGUGAUCACUCGGGAAGUGAUCAUGGGUAUAUACAUACAUAUAUACAUACUAUCAAGCGGUGACUAAAGUCGGGUCGGCUCGUUGAGUACCCGCAAGUGAUUCCGAUGUUGGGGGCUGAAGGGGCAGGUGGUUCCACCCAGGUAGUGGUGGGCUUGGGUUCCCGACGGCCCCCGACUAUUACCUUGAGGCGGAGCGACAUGGCAGGUUGAGACCACCUAGGAGAGAGGUGGGCCUGACCCUGGUCGGCUUCCGUGGAUAUGUCAGCAUAACAUGCUUAACGAGAUCUUGGUAUUUGAUCUGAGUCUGGCCGCUGGCCUAUACGCACUAACCAACUACGCGGGAACAGUUAUGGGCACUCGACGUCGUGGUAUCAGCCGAAGCCUUCCUGACGUCAGCGACUGAGCGGUGCGCGUCGGGUUGGACUGGAACGCCUGCUCUUGUAUAAGGGAGGCUAGGUCUGCUCGCCGGCCGCGUUCGCAACGUGCAGGUGUGCAAUGGGCGAUGGGCCCAGACCCCUGCGCCAUAGGAUUUACACCGGCAUGCUGACCUCUUUGUUGUGCCUAGGUAGGGUUGCGACGUGUUGAUCUUCCGAGGCCGGGCAUGACCCAGAAAAGUGUGUCCGGACAAAGGGGAUCAAGCGUGUUGGGAAAUGUGGUGCACCCCUGCAGGGAAGUUAAUCUAUUUGAAUAGCCGUGAUCUUCGGUAACAGGACGACUUAGAGUUGUACCUUGACCUUUUGCCAACUAGAACCGGUUACUUAAUAAAACACACCCUUCCAAGUGCUAGAUACAACCCGGUGAUCGCUCUCUAACAGGGCGAUGAGGAGAGGAUCGCCGGGUAGGAUUAUGCUACACGAUGCUACUUGGUGAACUUACCAUCUACUCUCUUCUACAUGCUGCAAGAUGGAGGUUGCCAGAAGCGUAGUCUUCGAUAGGACUAGCUAUCCCCCUCUUAUUCCGGCAUUCUGCAGUUUAGUCCACAUAUGAUACCCCUUUUCCAUUUGAUACCAAUGCAUACAUAUGUAGUGUAGCUCCUUGCUUGUGAGUACUUUGGUGAGUACUCACGGUUGCUUUGUUUCCCCUUUUCCCCCUUCCUAUACCCGAUUGCUGCGACCAGACGAUGGAGUCCAGGAGCUAGAAGCCACCGUUGACGAUGACUCCUACUACACAGGAGGUGCCUACUACUACGUGCGGCCCGCUGACGACGACCAGGAGUAGUUUAGGAGGAUCCCAGGCAGGAGGCCUGCGCCUCUUUCGGUCUAUAUCCCAGUUUGUGCUAGCCUUCUUAAGGCAAACUUGUUUACUUACGUUUGUACUCAGAUAUUAUUGCUUCCGCUGACUCGUCUAUGAUCGAGCUCUUGUAUUCGAGCCCUCGAGGCCCCUGGCUUGUAAUAUGAUGCUUGUAUGACUUAUUUUAUUUGUAGAGUUGUGUUGUGAUAUCUUCCCGUGAGUCCCUGAUCUUGAUCGUACACGUUUGCGUGUAUGAUUAGUGUACGAUUGAAUCGGGGGCGUCACAACCUUCAAGACAUCAUCCAAAUGAAGAGAAUUGGAAAGGUUUAAGGUUGAUCAAGACUAAGUCAAGAGUGAAUCAAGUUGAUCAACUCACAAAGCGCAGAAGAUGUACCGAAAGGGAUCAAGUGGUCCCAUGGUAUGGUAAGCAUUGUCAAUUACGCUUUGUAUACUAACCCAUGGUCUUCGUGAGAGUUCUGUGUGGGGUUAGGUUGCCGUGUGCAAGUUCAAGUGAUGCAUCACAAAGAGAUCAAGUGCUUGAAGCUUGCCUUCCAUUGUGGUGACAAUGGACUUGUGAAGAUGUGCGUAAGAGUUUCUCACCCAUAGUGGAGUAUGGGGGAGCAAUCUACUAGUCUUCACCAAGCCACCGCAAUCAAGAAAGGUGGUCCAACUUGAGAAAGUCAAGAUCAUCAUCAUGUAGCUCAAGUGGACUAUGUGCAAGACAAAGGUUUGCCCUUGAUAGGUUUUCUAUUUUACCGGUCUCAUAGUGGUAGUCGGGAGACCGGGUUAUAGGAUUGAUUGCCGUACUAUCAAGAGGGGCUCUCGAUGAGUAGCUUGAUCGUAUCGUUCGUAGAGAGUUCAAACCAUUGCAUCCUUGCAUCAUCUUUAUUGGUUCUUGUUUGGUUCUUCUCUUUGUGAGUUUUGGAGCUUAUGGUCAUCUUGAUGACAAGCUCGAGUUCAUCAAAAACGGAGUUCACAUGCAUCUUCUAUGAUGUUUUCGAUGUUGGAGGUUUUGCCGGUUCUUCUCGGUUGGAGGUUUGAUACGUCUCCAACGUAUCUAUAAUUUUUGAUUGCUCCAUGCUAUAUUAUCUACUGUUUUGGACUAUAUUGAGCUUUAUUUUCCACUUUUAUAUUAUUUUUGGGACUAACCUAUUAACCGGAGGCCCAGCCCAGAAUUGUUGUUUUUUGUCUAUUUCAGUGUUUCGAAGAAACGGAAUAUCAGACGGAGUCCAAACGGAAUAAACCUUUCUGGAACGUGAUUUUCUUCCCGAAUAUGACCCAGGAGACUUGGACCCUACGCCAAGGAAGCUUCGAGGUGGGCACGAGGUAGGGGGCGUGCCGUAUACCCCAAGGCGCGCCCCCCACCCUCGUGGGCCCACCGAAACUCCACCGACGUACUUCUUCCUCCUAUAUAUACCUACGUACCCCCAAACGAACAAAGACGGAGCCAAAAACCUAAUUCCACCGCCGCAACUUUCUGUAUCCACGAGAUCCCAUCUUGGGGCCUGUUCCGGAGCUCCACCGGAGAGGGCCGUCAUCACGAAGGGCUUCUACAUCAUCAUAGCCUCUCCGAUGAAGUGUGAGUAGUUUACCUCAGACCUUAGGGUCCAUAGUUAUUAGCUAGAUGGCUUCUUUUCUCUUUUUGGAUCUCAAUACAAAGUUCUCCCCUCUCUCGUGGAGAUCUAUUCGAUGUAAUCUUCUUCUUUUUGCGGUAUGUUUGUUGAGACCGAUGAAUUGUGGGUUUAUGAUCAAGUCUAUCUAUGAAUAAUAUUUGAAUCUUCUCUGAAUUCUUUUAUGUAUGAUUGGUUAUCUUUGCAAGUCUCUUCGAAUUAUCCGUUUGGUUUGGCCAACUAGAUUGGUAGUUCUUGCCAUGGGAGAAGUGCUUAGCUUUGGGUUCGAUCUUGCGGUGUCCUUUCCCGGUAACAGAAGGGGCAGCAAGGCACGUAUUGCAUCGUUGCCAUCGAGGAUAACAAGAUGGGGUUUAUUUCAUAUUGCAUGAAUUUAUCUCUCUACAUCAUGUCAUCUUGCUUAACGCGUUACUCUGUUUUUAACUUAAUACUCUAGAUGCAUGCUGGAUAGCGGUCGAUGAGUGGAGUAAUAGUAGUAGAUGCAGAAUCGUUUCGGUCUACUUGUCACGGACGUGAUGCCUAUAUACAUGAUCAUGCCUAGAUAUUUUCAUAACUAUGCUCAAUUCUGUCAAUUGCUCAACAGUAAUUUGUUCACCCACCGUAGAAUACUUAUGCUCUUGAGAGAAGCCACUAGUGAAACCUAUGGCCCCCGGGUCUAUUCUCAUCAUAUCAAACUCCAUCACUUUAAUCUUGCUUUGCUUUUUACUUUGCCUUUUUAUUUUCACUUUGCAUCUCUAUACCAAAAAUACCAAAAAUAUUAUAUCUAUCAGAUCUCACUCUCGUAAGUGACCGUGAAGGGAUUGACAACCCCUAAUCGCGUUGGUUGCGAGUAGCUAUCGUUUUGUGCAGGUACGAGGGACUUGAGCGUGGGCUCCUACUGGAUUGAUACCUUGGUUCUCAAAAACUGAGGGAAAUACUUACACUACUCUGCUGCAUCAUCCUUUCCUCUUCGGGGAAAUCCAACGCAAGCUCAAGAGGUAGCAAGGUUUUGAUGCUACUCGUCAUCUUGUUUCCAACAAACUUGAGUUUGCUCAAUUCGGAGCUCAUAUGCAGAAGUUAUGGCAGUUCUGGUUUUCCAUAGAGUAUACUUGCUUUUGUGGAAGUGGCAUAAGGAUGGCGCCAGCGGUAGUACCGCUGGGCCGGAGCGGCAGUACCGCUUAUCGCCACAAACGGUAGUACCGCUGUCCCACAGCAGUAGUACCGCCCAUGGCCAUAAGCGGUAUUACGGCUCCGGUUUCGCGUUGGUACCGCCUCAACUCAAGACGUGGUUUUCUCGUGUCGGGUUCAGCGGCAGUAGGAGCGGUAGUACCGCUCAUGUGCGGUAGUACCGCGGCUACCACCGCCCCUAGUACCGCUCAAUGGCCCUCCUCCCUGUUCCUUCUCCAUGUGCUCGUGGUAGGCGCUAUGCGUGGUCCCAGCGGUAGUACCGCUGACUCCAGCGGUAGUGUCGCUCAUACGGCUCUGCCUCGCACUCUGUUUCGGUCCGCUCAUACGGCUCAUACGGCUCUGCCUCGUGCGCGGACUGAGCACAUAACGAUUGGAUUCGGGAGCUCCUAUAAAAGGGAGUCUUCUUCCCCAUUCAACCUUAUCCUUUGAGCUCAUGUUCUUCCCCCAUUGUUGACCUUCUUCGAGCUUGCUAACUCUCAAUCCCUCCAUGGAUUAUUGCUAGUUUUUGAGGGAAAAGAGAGAGGAGAUCUAGAUCCACAUUUCCACCAAUCACUUUCUCCUCUUUGUGAGGGGAACCCCUUAGAUCUAGAUCUUGGAGUUCUUGGUGCUCUCCUUCUUGUUAUUCCUCUCAUUUUCUUCCCUAGCAUUAGUUGCUUUGGUGGGAUUUGAGAGAGAAGGACUUGGGCACUCCGUGUGCCCUUUCCAUUACAUUUGGUGCAUCGGUUUGAGUUCUCCAUGGUGAUACGUGGAAGUUACAAGUUGAGAAGCUUAUUACUCUUGGGUGCUUGGUACCAUUGAGCUUGUUCCUCUUGGGUGCUUGGGCACCCUAGACGGUUGGUGGUGUUCGGAGCUCAAUCAUUGUGGUGUAAAGCUCUGGGCAAGCGUCGGGGUCUCCAAUUAGGUUCUGGAGAUCGCCCCGAGCAAUUUGACGGGUACCGGUGACCGCCCCCAAGGGUUGCCAAAGUGUACGGGUUCGGUGACCGCCCCCAAGGGUUGCCAUUUGUACGGGUUCGGUGACCGCCCUCAAGGUUCCCUUAGUGGAAUCACGGCAUCUUGCAUUGUGCGAGGGCGUGAGGAGAUUACGGUGGCCCUAGUGGCUUCUUGGGGAGUAUUGUGCCUCCACACCGCUUCAAACGGAGAUUAGCAUCCGCAAGGGUGUGAACUUCGGGAUACAUCAUCGUCUCCGCGUGUCUCGGUUAUCUCUUACCCGAGCCCUUUACUUAUGCACUUUACUUUGUGAUAGCCAUAUUGUUCUUUGUCAUAUAUCUUGCUAUCACAUAGUUGCUUAUCUUGUUUAGCAUAAGUUGUUGGUGCACAUAGGUGAGCCUAGUUGUUUCAGGUUUUGUGCUUGGCAAAUUAACCGCUAGGUUUAUUCCGCAUUUGUUCAAGUCUAAACCGUAAUUAUUUUGAAGCGUCUAUUCACCCCUCCACCCCUCUAGGCGACAUCCACGAUCUUUCACCAACUCUGAAACAAUCCACAAUUAGCGGACAAAAGUCUCAACAUCCUCCAGGGGAGAGUCGGCAAAACACAUUACAAAUAGAGAUGCCAGCAUACAAAUAGACCAAUUUAAGGGCUCCUUUAAUUCAAAGAAAUUGCAUACAACUUCUGUAGGAUUGGAUCCUACUAGAAUUUUUCUUAUCUUUGUACUACUUCCUAUAGGAAAUCUAGCAAUCACUACAAUCUCCGUUUAGAAUUUCUUUGAUGGAAUCUAAAGAAUUUGGUUGCAUACAAAAUCCUGUAGGAUUUGAGCAGGUAAGACACUGCAAUCCCCCUAUCCUAUGAAUUCUCAUAAACGCGGAGUGUUAGAAACAAGAGAUUCUUAUCAAAGUGUACAACCUACUAAAACUGUCUUCAGUUUCCGCUCAUUAGAAAAUCAUCUUGCUGAAGAGAGAAUUCCUUAUUUAACACUGUCUAAAGCUUUGUUUUCUCUAUUUGGCACUGAAAAAAGAGAUAUUUCUUCCCUAUCUAACACAACCUUUAAAUUUUGUUCCCAAUAUAACAAUUUUUUUUCAUGCAAACAAUGCUAAAUGACAUGAAAUGACAAACAUCUAUUCAAUCCUUUUCUCUAUUCCAGUGUCUUAUUUAAGGCUGGAGUCCACGGUUAGUGUAACAGAAUAACACAAAAGGUUCAAGUACGUUGUCUUAUUUAAGGGAACCGUUGUGUAGCACAAGCAAGGCCAAAGGCUCAAGUACGUACAUACAUACGCAGCUAGAGACGAGCACGUUCUUCUUCUAGGGUACGCUGAUGGUUAUCGAAAGCUGGCUAGACUCUGCACCUUCGUUCCUGACAAGCAGACUCCUCACGGACUGCUCAGGAACACUUUCCUUGAAUAAAGCUCUUGAAUGUUGCCUGCAAAAAAAAAAGUUAAUCAAGUUGCCUGUGUAUUUCUGAGCUCGCACGGCGUGCGCUGCAUUUGAGUGAAUCGAUCUAGCAUUCUAAAAUCAACACUCCACCACGGGCUCGCCCAACACCCGCCCGCUCUCGUCCGCUGUGCUUUGGUCGCCCCUGGUGGGAGCUCCUAUUCGGUGCUCCAGGCGCCAGGGAAGCUCACGCGCUGGCACAGGUGGGCCGGCCCAUGUACACAUUCACAUUGGAGAAAAAAUGAAAAAAAGAACAGGAAAAAACAUGAAAAACCAAAAGAAAACAUGAGUUCAAAAAAGUUCAUGGAUUUUUAAAAAAUCUUAAACUUGAAGAAAAAGCUCAUCAAUUUGAAAAGAAGUUCAUAAAUUUAUCUUAAAACACCAUUGAAUUUGAAAAAAAUAACAAAAAAGUUUAUCGAUUUUGAAAAAAGUUCACCUAUUUUUAAAAAAUCAUCAUUUUUGCAAAACUUUCUACUCUCUCUCUCUCGGUUUACAGGGCGUGCGCGCACUCCUAGGUCAUCAAUUUGACCAAACUAAUACAAGUCAUAUAUUACAAAAAAUAUACCAAUAUAAACUUUGGAGUUUCUACUCUCAAAAUGUAUAAUUUUUGUGUUAUAUACUCCCUUCAUUCCUAAAUAUUUGUCUUUCUAGAAAUUUCAAAUGGACUACCACAUACGGAUGCAUAUACACAUAUUUUAGAGUGUAGAUUCACUCAUUUUGCUCCGUAUGUAGUCACUUAUUGAAAUCUCUAAAAAGACAAAUAUUUAGGAACAAAGGGAGUAGUUUAUAUUAGGGUGAUAAAAUUGGCAACCUAGGUAUACGCGCAGGACUUGUAAAUUGAAACGGAGGUAGUAUAAAAAUCAACAAUUUAAAAAAAAAGGUCAUCAAUUCUAUAAAAAGUUCUUAAAAUUGAAAAAAAAAUCAUCAUUUUAAAUAAAAAAAACUUCACCAAUUCUGAGAAAAGUUCACGAAAUUUAAGUAAAAAAGAAAAAAAUAGCUAAAUGGGCCGGCCCAGCUUAGAGGGCUUCAUGAGCUCGUUUGCAAAAUGAACAGUAACGAACCCAUGAAGCACCAAAUAGGUGCGAAGGAAAUGAGUGACCUGACCUGAUUGGUGCUUCUAGUGCCAGGGGUAAACUUGUCAUUUCACGUGUUAUAUGGGGAACAGGAUUUCAACCGAAUUUUUUAUUAUUAAUAAUUAAUAACCCAAUAAUUUGGAAACUAGUGACGGGGAAGUGGAAAUUUUAAAAAUAGUAAGGACGCUAAGUACAAUGGCGUCCACAGCUGGAUACUAUCGAGGAUAGCGUCCAGGUCUGGACGCUAUUAGUAAGUGCGUCCAGUCAAGUGAUUCGCCUAACCAUCAGAUUCGACUAAACCGGGUCUUUCCUAAUGACAGACAGAAGUUACGCGAGGUUUAAAACCCUAGUACGCAUGCAGUCUGCGCUCCUGGAACUCGCCGUAUGGUAAGCAAUCUCUGGCAGCCGGCAACACCGAUCAUCACAGGAGCGGCAAGGUCUCAUCAGCCGCUCGCCAUUAGGAUCCUCCAAUUGACUUUGUGCUUGAUUCAUGUUAGUUGUUGUACUGUCCUACUGAAUCUCCUUUGUUUUAAUCUUUAUGCAAUUGAUUCAAUGAUUUACAAGCAGACACUCUAUAAAUGAUUGGAUUGGUAUUCCUGAAUUACAAUCCUUAAUUGGGUGGUUUGUGAGAAGCCAAAUUUUCAGUCGUGAGUCUAUGGUAGAUCAAUUUAAAAUUGUGAUAUUCACUUGCUGCACGUUCAUGUUUGUAGGUGCAUAUAAGAAUAUGUUAAUCGUUCUGGUUUACGUGGAUGGUGAAGUGCAACAUGGGUCCAUGAGUGUGGAGUAUACUAUUCCUCCCAAGUUAACAUUUCCAGCAUCCGAGAAUACCACUUUUGAAGAUAUCAAGAGUGAGACAUGUCGAGGACUUGCACAUGUUAAUGUCAGUGCUCAAACGAACCUGAAUAUCCAAGCUUGCUUUGAUAUUGGAGCUCCUGGACCACAUUAUUUUCAGUUAAUUCCAAUAUAUGAGGAAAGAGGGUGGAACAUGAUUUUUGAGAAGACCAAGUCCCGGACAACGUGGCAAGUGAUAGAGUUAUAUGUUAACAUCACGCCAAAUCAAGACAUGUUGAGCCAAGUCAGCGGUGGAAGCAACAUACCAAUAAUUGAAAGGCACUUACAAAGGUAUGGAAGUGCAGUGCACUCGUCAUUGCAUCAAACAUCUGCCAGUGGUUUUCCAAAUUCUAGUUCGUGUGGUCUUGAUUUCGACAUGGCACAUGCUCCAUCUUCUACUCAUGGUACUGUGACAAAUGAUUUUCCAACAGGUACUGUCAAUGACCCAUAUGAUCAGGAGGAUACAGAGACAGAGGAGGAUUUUAUGGGACAUGAUGAUGAUGAGCAUGAUUCCGAUGCCGCACCUAGCCAGAGUUCAGACGAAGAUCCAGAACCAAGCGUUAUGCAUCAUGUUAAUGCAUUUCCAUUCAUGCGUACAUGUGGACAGAAUGGCGUGAGAGCCUUUGGUGACAUAUCUAUACUAACGGAGACGACAGCAGAUGAAAGUUUUUUUGGAUGCAAGAAGCACUUUCAAAGCCCAUUGUCAGAGCAGCAAAUUUUUGAUUCAAAAGAGCACCUCAAAAUUGCGAUUGGUGAAUUUCACAUAAACAUGAACUUGAAAGUGAAGUCCAACACAAGCAGUCAAUCUAAACUUGUAGCAGAGUGUAUUGAUGACAGUUGCAUGUGGAGGUUGUAUGCAAUACCAACAAAAAUUGGUUCAUGUUGGCAAAUAAGGAAAUGUCCUUAUUCUCACACUUGUCGUGCACCGGCUAAUAGAACUGACCAUUCUCAGUUAUCGGCCUCUAUAAUUGCAGAUGUGAUUCGUGAAGCACUCAAGGAUGACCUAGAGUUAAGUAUAAAAAAUGUGCGGGCAUUGGUCAAACACCGUUACAGAAAUGUGAGACCAUCAUACAAUAAGUUGUGGCGUGGAAGGGAGAAGGCCAUAGCAUAACUUUUUGGUAGCUGGGAAGGAUCAUACAAUCUUCUCAUCCCCUUCCUCGAGGCUAUUAGAGUAAAAAAUCCAGGUACAAAGUAUGUUCUUCUAUCAAAACCCAUGACAUUAGAAGGGCAUAGAGAAUUUCGAUGUGUUGCUUGGGCAUUUGGACCUUGCAUUGCAGCAGUUCCCCACCUUCGACCUGUAAUAAGUGUGGAUGCAUCAUUUCUAUCAGGAAGAUACAAGGGCCGGUUGAUAAUGGCUUGCGGAUAUGAUGCUAAUAAUAAGUUAAUACCUCUUGCAUUUGCCAUUGUUGAGAAAUAGGACGCUACGAACUGGGGCUGGUUCAUGAGAUGGUUGCGGAGGGAGGUAAUUGGUGUUGGAAAGUUCAUGUGUGUGAUUUCAGAUCGCCACAAAGCAAUCAAAUGGGUGUUUAAGCAACCACACCUUGGGUGGAAUGAAAGUGCUGGCGAGUGUGUGCAUCGCUUUUGCUCUCAACAUGUCGUAGAGAACCUAUACAAAGCUUUUUGUGAUGAUGACAUUUUGAAAAUUUUCAAGUGGGCAGUCAAGAAAAAGAAACCUCGUAGGUUUGAGGAGGGCAUGUCAUCUAUUGAACAUACUUGUCCCGAUGCAACAACAUAUCUUAGAAAGGUCGGUAAGUAUUUGCAGGAAGAUAAAAAUGAGCAAGAGAAGCCUGAGAAAGUAUUUCAAUGCAAGGAUGGGGGUUACCGGUGGGGGAUCAUGACAAGCAAUGGGUCGGAGUCCUUAAACAAUGUGCUUAGGCUUUCCCGAAGGCUACCGGUGGCAGCAAUUGUGGAGGAGACAUUUUCAAAGUGCUUAGAGUGGUUUGUAGAAAGAAGGCGAAGUGCUCUUAACUUGGUUGACGGAGGCAACCAAUGGUCCGAACGGGUGGACAAACUAUUAGUUAAAAGGGGCGACAAGGCAGGACAUAUGCAUGUUAUUUCAUAUGGUGAUGAAGUUGGAAUAUUUGAGGUCAAGGUUGAUAAUGAGAGGGUUGCAUUACACAAUGGAGAUCAUGUUCUUUUUAUUCAUAAAGACUUUAAGUACAAGGUCACUCUGCAACCAAAUACUUCUUCAUCUUGUGACUGCCUAAAGCCAAACCUGACCGAUGUGCCAUGUGCUCAUUUGCUUGCUGUUUGCAAGUACAGGAAUCUAAAUGAAAAUCAAAUAGUUCAUUCAUAUUAUUCCUCUGAAGUACUUGCAAACACUUGGGCUGGACAAUUUCAUCCUUACGGGAACCAAAAUGAGCAAACACUUGGGCCCAUUAUUAUUCUUCAGGAUACUCCACUAGAUAAACCUCAGUAAAUCAUAUUCUCUCUCAGUAUGAGCUAUGCUUACGAAACCAAUGAGAAAUCAUUAAAGCUGCUGCAUCAACAAUAUCAAUCAUUUACUGUCAACUACAUACUCAGCACGGUUCAUUCCACAUAAGGAGAUGGAAGUGCUGAACACUAAGUAGCUAGACAACAACAAUAAGCCACACAUGACAUACUGACAAAUGCAGCUAUGCAGCAACGAUGAAUUCAAAAGGAUCAUCCACACAGUGGAAAACGUAGCAAAUACAGUCAUCCAUCAGCAUCUGAUUUAGAAUCAUGGAAAUGACGCAAUCAUAAGCACACUCACCAUAAUAAACCAGAUUUUGAAGGUUCUCUUUGCUAACUUUCUUAAAUACAUUGCUUUUAAUCUCGGCAAAAUUAUUGGACACCAAAAGAGCCAAUAGUGCAUUGUUAUGUUCAGGAAUAGACUUUUUUUCACUCAGUAUCAAUGUCAAUCUAUUAAUCAGAAGAAGAGACAAAUACCAUGCAAGAAAUAGAAGAUAUUUUCUAGCAUCUAUUGUAGUGUUGGAGAGGAAGAACAUACAGCUUCAGGGGAAAAGUACAGAGCCUACCAUCCUGUGCUCCGGCGGGUGAUGAUUGAGGCUGUGAGGAAUGCUGGGACGAGGAACGGAACAGUUGUGCUGACCGCGGUCGAGAGAAGAGAGAAGGGCCGUCAACUCCGUCAAACUCGCCGUGGUGGCGCAACCUAGUUUGACAGAGGUGGGAGGCUACCACGAGGUGUUCUAGGGGAUGACAGGGAGGCGGCCUUGAGGAGGUGGGCGAGAGAUGAGGUGGAGGGCGGCGGCGGCAGCGGUGGCCAAGGGGGCGAUGGGCCGAAGUUGCUGGAUAGGAGCCCAGCCUAAACGUGGACGUGAUUGAUGCUAGCGUCCAGUCCAGGACGUCGCUUAUACUAGCGUCCGUGCAUGGACGCCGUAAUGCCUAGCGUCCUUACUAUUUCUAAAAAAUGUAAUUAUCCUUUCCUCGUUUCAUAAUUCCGUGAUUACUAAUUACUAUUAAUAAAAAAUUCGGGGAUUUCAAAGUAGGUAUUAAAUAAGGAAGAAAUAUUUCUUCAGAGUCAAAUAGGGAAACGAAAUUUAAAACUGUGUUAAACAAGGAAUUCUUUCAUUGCACAAAGGGAGGUCAAAACAGUGUUUCCUAUUAGACGUGUAAAGAAUAGCUAUAUUUUUUGCAGGGGCAAGAAAUGGCUAUAUGUGAAGAUGCUUUGUACUAGGAAGGCGCUAUUAACAGAUGCUCAUACAGUUAACACAUAACAAAUCAAGAUAUUAGGUCUCUGAAAGAAAUGGAUGCUGUAAUGGGGGUAUGGGCUCCAAGUUCACACCGUGGGCUCCAAGUUCACACCAUGGGCUCCAAGUUCACACCGUGGCAGGGCUUUCUGAAAACAUAUAACAAUCGCAGGUACAAAACCCAGACAAGCUACAUAACUGAAUAAACAGCAGAGUACCAAGUAAUCAAACAAAGGCACCAGACUCAUGUAUAAAAAUCUUAAAAAGAUUGGUCUUCUCAAAAUAGAAACCACGGGCUAAAGAUAGUGUCAACACAAUGGCCAUAGCUCUAUAGGUACGGACUGGUAAUACAGGACUUUGCUUCCGGAUAAAAUUCACCAGCUAGCCAAGUUCUAUUUCUUCUUGUCACCAGCACCACCACCAGCAGACCUGCAUAUCAUGAGACAACAUUUUAGUCAUUUAUAAAACAACCGUUGCAGCAAAACAGAAUGGCAACUAUUUUUUCCUGAAUGUAGAAGACAUUAAAUUGGUCAGGCAAAAGAAAAAACUAAAGAACUACAAGAAAAUAGAAACAUGAUUAUGCUGAAGAUUGCAUUGUAUAUGCAACACCGAAAACCCUACCAUCUUCCAAGUGGGAACUGCUGUCUACAACCUAUACUACUUGACAUGGAGAAAAGCCACAUCUACAAAUUAAAAAAAAUAUUGGAAGAAUUGUUGAGUGCAUAGGCAAUAAGCAACAACUGAACGCCUAGAGACAAGAUAGGCACUAGGCAGAGAUUAAAAAAAAUGGAAUUUAGACCUAGCGCUUUAUUUAAGCUUUGGCUGGAAGCCAUCACAGCAUUUCUUAAUUGAAAGAUUUUUUUUGUCUUCAAUUCACUUAUAAACCAAACAAAUUCAUAAUUCUCCUACUACUAGAGGAUGCACUAUGCACUAAUGCUCUAGGUAACUACGUAGUCCAGAACAAAAAGGAAAACUGAAUAAUAGGGCAGCAGAGUCAAAUAAUGUUCAUAAUAUAAAUGUUAAGUCUAGUUGUUACACACCUCAUCUUCCUAAGGACACUUGACAUCUCCUCUCUCUUCUUCUUUGCUCUCUUGUGAGUACCAAGCUUUCUCUUGGCGACCUUGAGUGCACGCUUGUCCUUUCCAACCUUAAGAAGCUCAGUGAUACGCUUCUCAUAGGGAGCAAAUCCAGCAACCUCCCUGAUCAAGUUCCUGACAAAAUGCACCCUCUUUGUACCUUUCUGCAAAAUAUGCGAACAUAACAAUGUAAGGAUAACUGCAAACUGAUAGACAUGCUAUAAUAAUUCAGCUGAGCAUAUAGGAGCAUGUAAGUGCAGAGUUAACUUUGUUUCAGUUUCACACAAGUUACAAUUCCUUAAAAAAAAGCCAACUAGAAUAGCCGAAUAACAAUUUGGUCCCAAACUCAGCAAGGUUCUAUUUUACUUUUAACACGACUUGACAACAGUUGUAAAUAAUAUCAAGAAAGGAAGGUGAUCUGAAUCUGCAUUGGCUAUUACUUAAAUGCAGAAAUACAACAGGCCUGUGUAGGUAAUCAAGCCCAAUACAGAAUCCAGAUUUACACAUGAAAACAAGAGGCUAUCAAUGCUGCCAAGUUACACAAGGCCAUGGUUAUGCAUCGAACAAUAUGAGAAUUAAGACUAAUACUAGAUGGCAUUGAAAACUGCAUUAACAACUAUUUACAGAUGAAUAUUGCAAUAUCCCUCAAAAAGGUGUGUAGCACAGUCAGUGAUACUUUAGAAAUGAAAAUACAAGGUACUUGAUUGAGCGGCCACAUUUCACCAACAACUAUAGACCUCCAGGACUAGCAACUUAGGACUUCUUAAAUAUCAAAAAUGCCAAAGGUGUGUUGAUGCAUCAUUACAUCACUGCAGACACAAGGCUGCUCUCAAUCUUGUAGAAUUUUUAUCAGUUCUCAAUUCGGCGAGCUUCCAUGCAAUACAAGGUACACCUCACAGAUAUUUACCCCGACUACUUUUACCCUUUAGUAGCAUCAACCAUACUAUGCUACAGUGUUCUUAACAUCAAGCUCACCACCCUUUUCUUGAUCAUAACUACAACAGACACGAAAAUAAUACUAAACCUAGUAGACUAAAACAACGGAACUACCGAGCAAACACAGAUCUAGAGAACAGUCCGAGGCCAGUACAAUCUAAAUGGGCAGAUCAAGCGGGCACUGAGAACAAAUCAGAAGACGCAUAUGGGCAGGAGAAGGAGGAUAUCGGAGGUUAGAGACGGCUUAUUACCCCCUUGCGGUCGGACGGGCGAGGCGGCAGCUCGCGCUUGGUGACGACGUGGCCCUUGUUGAUGCCCACGAAGAGCCCUGACUUGGGCUGCGACGGCGCCAUGGCCGGACUCCCACUCGCUCCUGCUAACCUGCAACGGACGCACGCAAGGUUACGAGUGAUCUGACACAAGAUUCAUGGUGCGGGCGGCGGCGCUGCUUGCAGGCUUACGUUGAGAAUGGAUGCAAGUGAAACCCUAAUCCGCCGCCAGCGCCCGGGAAGAAACCCUAAGCUGCGUGAGGCAGGAUCUUAUAUAUGGCCAGGGCGUGAAAUCUCUCCACGCUAGACUGAUGGGCCUGUCUUCGUGGGCUUACUCGGCUUGUUUUGCUCACCUUAUGGAUAGGCCCACUUUUGUGCGUGUGUAAGUUGUUAGCGCAAAAUGCAGUAUUUGAUGCCAAAAAAAAAAUUUACAGUGUUUGAUUUGCUAAAAAAAAUGCAGUAUUUGAUCAUUUGAACAACAUAUAAAUGCGGUGUUUCUGCUAUGUUAGCUAGGAGCCAAAACAUUAUCUUUACUUUUAGAGAAAGGAAGAAAAUACAUUAUUUACCGCAAAAAGAUACAAUACACACACCACGGUGAAAACAAAAUGUCACACGAACCGAUAACAAAAUUGUCAGCCUUUUUUCAUAUGAGUGCGCCUAAAACUCAGCCUACUCAGUCAAGUGAUGUCAUCCCAUGAGUUAAUACUAUGUAAACAUUUUUGUAUUGGUUGAUUUUUUCACUCACUUGCAACUGAGAAAACCUCAGUGGCUUCCUGCUUACAACUCCUAUGGCAAUGCAAAUCUGAUUGUUCUAGAAUUGAUAAAGAUCUAUCUGGAUUCUUUGUCGGUUGAGAAUUAACAAAAUCGUUUUCAUAUUCAUAGUGUUCCCAGGCUUUUUUUGUGUGGGCGAAGAACACCGUAUGUAAAGACCAUCGACCAGGACACAUAUGUUGUCGCGACACUCGAUGGCACGUAAAAGAAGGUCGAGACCCUAGAGUGCAACAAACGUUGAUACCACCAAUAUGUAAGAAUAUGAGUCUCCUCCAACAUACCUCAAGUACCUCGCUGAUUUUCAGGCGACACUAGAGAGGGCACCACAAGUACGGGUAGCCAGGGAUGACUCAAAAGGACGGUUAAUAUGUGAGAUGAUGUCUCUUUGCCAUGGUGAUGCAUCCGACUACUAGUGUCUUGGACUAUGUGAGCCACGAUGGUAUAACAGAGAGCUAGACCACCAUUUUCCGUCACACUAGUGCUGAUCGUUGUGCAUCCAUAUGAGGUGAAACAAGUGACUUCUGGUUCUUGACAAUCUAAACUAAACAUACGUCCGAAGAGAAAAUGGCUUGGGCGACCCGGUCAUUUUCUUUGUGAAUGUCUGCUCGAUUUAAUCUGCUCCCCAGAGUUCAAUUACUGUACGCUCCACUCUGCGGUCCACUCUUCGUCUCAGAUACAGACCGCGUUCCGGUUGUCCGGNNNNNNNNNNNNNNNNNNNNNNNNNNNNNNNNNNNNNNNNNNNNNNNNNNNNNNNNNNNNNNNNNNNNNNNNNNNNNNNNNNNNNNNNNNNNNNNNNNNNNNNNNNNNNNNNNNNNNNNNNNNNNNNNNNNNNNNNNNNNNNNNNNNNNNNNNNNNNNNNNNNNNNNNNNNNNNNNNNNNNNNNNNNNNNNNNNNNNNNNNNNNNNNNNNNNNNNNNNNNNNNNNNNNNNNNNNNNNNNNNNNNNNNNNNNNNNNNNNNNNNNNNNNNNNNNNNNNNNNNNNNNNNNNNNNNNNNNNNNNNNNNNNNNNNNNNNNNNNNNNNNNNNNNNNNNNNNNNNNNNNNNNNNNNNNNNNNNNNNNNNNNNNNNNNNNNNNNNNNNNNNNNNNNNNNNCCCUUUUGCAUAAAACAUGUGCUGCUAAAACUAAAUUUUUGAUACAUCUACACCGGCGUACCAGGAUCUAAGGCUAACUAUGUCUUUUGCAUGAUCAUUUCCUUUGGGGAAACCCGCCGAGACCCUCGACGCCACCAUAUGCUACAACAAACAGCGAAGACCCUCCCCCGACUCUUCGAGGCACCCAGAGGCUCAGAGGCUACACCUAGUGGGUGCGUUGGCGCGCCUCCACUAGAAGAAAGGUGCGCCAGCUGAGGCCCGCAGACAGUUGUCAUCUGCAACCUCAGAGAUACGACAACAAAGACCCUCCGUCCAACUCUUCAAGUCACCCGGAGGCUCGGAGGCUACUGUCGGGGGAUGAACCCCGGCUAGUCCCAAGACGGUGAGCCGGGUCGGUUGCUCCGGCUGGCCGACUACCUGAAGUCAACUACAACGUCUCAUUGUACAUGUGUGGACGAGACAGCCAUACCCUGUGGCGGGGCAAUGUUGAUGGAUAGCAGACACUAUGCACACGUCAUGCAUGUUAGACUACCUGGGUCAUCCCUUGUCCCUUGGACACCAGUUUAUAAGUGAGGGAGUCCUGGACUAAGGGGUCCUCGGGUGUCUGGCCUGUUAGCCAUGGACCGGACUGAUGGGCUGUGAAGAUACAAAGACCGAAGACUCUACCCGUGUCCGGAUGGGACUCUCCUUGGCGUGGAAGGCAAGCUUGGCGACCAACUAUGAAGAUUCCUUUCACUGUAACCGACUUUAUGUAACCCUACAUCCCUCUGGUGUCUAUAUAAACCGGAGGGCUAGAUCCUUAGAGGGGAACGAUGAUAAUCAUAAUCUGAUAGGCUAGACUUCUAGUGUUUUAGCCAUUACGAUCUCAUGGUAGAUCAACUCUUAUAACCCCCAUACUCAUUAAUAUUAAUCUAGCAGGACGUAGGGUUUUACCUCCAUCGAGAGGGCCCGAACCUGGGUAAACAUUGUGUUCCCUGUCUCCUGUUACCAUCAACCUCAGACGCACAGUUCGGGACCCCCUACCCGAGAUCCGCCGGUUUUGACACCGACAUUGGUGCUUUCAUUGAGAGUACCGCUGUGUCGCCGCCAAGAGGUUCGAUGGCCCCGUCAAUCAUCCACAACAACAUUAUCCCGGGAGAAACCUUCCUCCCGGAUAGAUCUUCGUGUUCGGCAGCUUCGCACUGCGGGCCAACUCGCCUGGCCAUCUAGAGCAGAUCGAUAGCUACGCCCCUGGCCACCAGGUCAGAUUUGGAAGCUUGAACUAUGUCGUGGACAUACGCGGAGACUUGAUCUUCGAUGGAUUCGAGACCGCGGCAGUAGCCGCUCCCUGUCACCACGAUGAACAUGACUUAAAUCUGUCAUCGAACCACACCCAGGAGAUGGAACCUACAACCGCUCCGGCUCUAGAUCCGGAGCAGAUCACACCAUCUGAGGACGGGAGGCUCAGCCCCGCCACGAGGCCGCAGACUCAGUGGCGUUGGAGCCGCACACAGACCCAACAUCAAGUGAGAUCUGUGUUGCCAGAACCUCAGACACGUUUGCGGCUACAGGUUCCGAGGCAUGUGCGUCCGCGCACAACGAGCUUGAUCGGGCGUCGAUUGUUGAAUUCAGCUCCGUGGACAUCUUCUGGCACUCACCUUUAGACGAUGUGCUAAACUCAUUAAAAACACUCUCCUUAGCGGGGGACUCACAACCGAAUUAUAUCCGGUUUGAACUGGAGGCCGAUGACGGAGAAUUUCGCUUCCCACCCCCGCCCACUUAAUAGCCACUGUCAAAGACCUAACUGACAUGCUCGAUUACGGCUCCGACGACAUCGAUGGUAUGGACGACGAUGCCGGAGAAAGAAGAGGCCCAAAACCCGCAGUUUACCGGACGCUGGACUAUCACUUUCUCGUAUGACGUAUACAUGGUGGAUGCACCAAAAGAGAAUAGCGGCGAUGACAAGGAAGAUCCGGUUGAGGAUAAACCUCCCGAGAUACAACCAAAGCGCCGGCGUCAGCGGCGCCACUCUAAGUCACACCGCAGCAAAGACAGCAGCACCGACACAUGAGAAGAUAAUACUCCGGACUAUGCCGGAGAAAAUGAAGACCCCGUUGAGGCAACUCAAACAAAAUGAACAGAAAGACAUGCAAGUUAGCCCUGGUGAACAGGCCACACAUGAAGACUCGGAGGACAGUAAUUAUCUUCCGCUCUUCGAGGAUGAGGCGAGCCUCGGCACUGAGGAUUUUAUCGUGCCUGAGGAACCUCUCGAGCAGGAGUGCUUCAAGCGCCAGCUAAUUGCCACUGCAAGGAGCCUGAAAAAGAAGCAGCAACAGCUUCAAGCUGAUCAAGACCUGCUCAAUGAUAAUGGACUAACAUCCUGGAAGCCGAGGAAUACGGCCUCAAGCGACCACUCAAAAGUUACCCGAAGCGCAAAUUACUACCUCAAUUCGAUGACUGAUAUGUCUCCAACGUAUAUAUAAUUUUUGAUUGCUCCAUGCUAUUAUAUUAUCUAUUUUGGAUGUUAAUGGGCUUUAUUUUACACUUCUAUAUCAUUUUUGGGACUAACCUACUAACGGAGGCCCAGCCCAAAUUGCUGUUCUUUGCCUAUUUUAGGGUUUCGAAGAAAAAGAAUAUCAAACAGAGUCCAAAUGGAAUGAAACCUUCAGGAACGUGAUUUUCUCAACAAACGUGAUCCAGGAGACUUGGAGUGGCCGUCAAGAAACAAGGGAGGAAGGCACGAGGCAGGGGGCGUGCCCUCCAUCCUCGUGGGCCCUCCGUUGCUCCACUGACGUACUUCUUCCUCCUAUAUAUAUCCACGUACCCCCAAACAUCCAGGAGCACCACGAAAACCUAAUUCCACCGCCGCAAAACUACUAGGAAAAAGCCUAGUAGUAGCGCGGGUGCCUGCGCUACUACUACGGCACUACAGCUAACUAGUAGUAGUAGCGCGGUGCAUCCUGUGUUACUACUACUAACUAUCUAUAGCGCGUGUCUGUGACCCGCGCUACUACUAUUAAUUUAAAAAACCAAAAAAAAUCUUGACCCCGUGCAUGUUGUCAAUGGUUCGGUUGACGGCGCCGACGGCCAUGAUGACGGGCGGUGGCCCGCGGCGAUGCGCAUGUUAGCCGGGAGCAGGGAGAUCUCGGCCAUGACGCGUGCCUCGUGGAGGCCGCGGAGGCCAGCUGGGCAUGGGCCGUGAGCUGGAGGACCUGGAUCUUGGCGUCGUGUGUGGGGAGCAGCACCUCGUGGCAGCCGUCGCCGUUGAGGUCGGCGAAGAGCGGCGGAGGAGGAAGGGGAUGGGUCAGCUAGGGUUCGGAUUGAAUCAAAGAGUGGGAGGAGGAGGGCUAGCCUAGAGCGAGAAGAAGACGACGAAGGCGGCGAGGAGGAGGUUGCCGAGGUCAUGCUUCCGCAUCUUGGCAGCGGCGAGGAGCUCCGGCGACCUCCCAUCAGAGGGAUCUCGGAGAGGGAGGGGGAAGAAAGCAGAGUGUACCAACGACGGCCACCGUUGGAGUACGAGGGAGAGAGGAGGAAAGUGAGAGAGGGGGAAAGUGAGGGAGAGAGGAGGGAUUCGGCCGAGGAUGUGUGGAUUUCACCUACCUCGUACUUAGUAGUAGCAAGGGGUAUAAAACCGCGGUAGUACUAUCAACUUAGUAGUAGCGCGGGUUUGUACCCCUCGCUACUACUAUGGCAUGUCCCGGGAGGGCACGGUAGAGACCGCUUAGUAGUAGCGCGGGUUAAAAACCCGCGUUACUAGUAUCAACUUAGUAGUAGCGAGGGGUAAAAACCCGCGCUACUACUAAGUAGGAGUAGCGAGGGUUAUAAACCCGCACUACUAGUAAGCGUCUGCGUAUAAGUUUUUCCCUAGUAGUGCAACCUUCUGUACUCGAGAGAUCCCAUCUCGGGGCCUUUUCCGGAGCUCCACCGGAGGGGGCAUUAAUCAUGGAGGGCCUCUACAUCAACUCCAUGGCCUCUCCGGUGAUGUGUGAGCAGUUUACUUCAGACCUACGGGUCCAUAGUUAUUAGCUAGAUGGCUUCUUGUCUCUCUUUGGAUCUCAAUACAAAGUUCUCCUCGAUUUUCUUGAAGAUCUAUUCGAUGUAAUCUUCUUUUGCGGUGUGUUUGUCGAGAUCCGAUGAAUUGUGGGUUUAUGAUCCAGAUUAUCUACGAACAAUAUUUAAUUCUCCUCUAAAUUCUUUUAUGUAUGAUUGGUUUAUCUUUGCAAGUCUCUUCGAAUUAUCAGUUUGGUUUGGCCUACUAGAUUGAUCUUUCUUGCAAUGGGAGAAGUGCUUAGCUUUGGGUUCAAUCUUGCGUUGUUUGAUCCCAGUGACAGAAAGGGAACCGAUACGUAUUGUAUUGUUGCCAUCGAGGAUAAAAAGAUGGGGUUUAUAUCAUAUUGCAUGAGUUUAUCCCUCUACAUCAUAUCAUCUUCCUUAAAGCAUUACUCUGUUCUCUUGAACUUAAUACUCUAGAUGCAUGCUGGAUAGCGGUCGAUGUGUGGAGUAAUAGUAGUAGAUGCAGGCAGGAGUCGGUCUACUUGUCUCAGACGUGAUGCAUAUAUACAUGAUCAUACCUAGAUAUUCUCAUAACUAUGCUCAAUUCUAUCAAUUGCUCGACAGUAAUUCGUUCACCCACCGUAAUACUUAUGCUCUUGAGAGAAGCCACUAGUGAAACCUAUGCCCCCCGGGUCUAUCUUUCAUCAUAUUAAUCUUCCAAUAUUUAGUUAUUUCCUUUGCCGUUUAUUUUACUUUGCGUCUUUAUUUCUCUUUAUCAUAAAAAUACCAAAAAUAUCAUCUUAUCAUAUCUAUCAGAUCUCACUCUCAUAAGUGACCGAGAAGGGCUUGACAACCCCUUUAUCGCGUUGGUUGCGAGGUUCUCUAUUUGUUUGUGUAGGUGCGUGGGACUUGAGCGUGAUCUCCUACUGGAUUGAUACCUUGGUUCUCAAAAACUGAGGGAAAUACUUACGCUGCUUUACUGCAUCACCCUUUCCUCUUCAAGGGAAAACCAACGCAGUGCUCAAGAGGUAGCAAUGACGAGGCACUGGAGCCCAUGCCAUCAGCGCACAAUGCAGCCGACCGACCGCCACGUGGCCGGGACAAAGUGACAACACAAGCCGAACACCAGCCCGCCUUACCUCGCCGUAAAGGCAGAGACAAAACUGCUUAGGGAUACACGUAUGAUCUCCGGCAGGGCCUGAAGAAUAAAACAGGUCCGGGUAGAUCGAUCUACGGAUCAUGGGGGCAUGCCUCGACGCGGGACGACGGCUAUCAAGUCGAACAUGGCAAGUACAAUUAUGUCUGAGCCGAAAGCCGCAGACAGACUCCAUCCUAACUAUGUCACGAACUGGCCCGAUAUAGUGGCGCUGCACACCCUCUCUGCUUCACUGAUGAAGUCAUGGAACAUGAAUUCCUAGAAGGGUUCAAACCCGUGAGUAUCGAAUCAUACGAUGGAACCACAUACCCCGCGGUAUGGAUUGAGGACUUCAUUCUCCAUAUUCAUAUGGCCCACGGUGAUGACUUUCAUGCCAUUAAAUACCUCCCCCUAAAACUCAAAGGGCUAGCCUGAAAAUUCCAUUGGCAGCUGGGAGGACUUGGAAGAAGCCUUCCUUGACAACUUCCAAGGUACAUAUGUUCGACCUCCGGAUGCCGAUGACUUAAGUCACAUAAUUCAACAGCCCAGAGAGUCGGCCAGGAAACUCUGGACUAGGUUCUUAACUAAAAAGAACCAGAUCGUUGACUGUCCGGAUGCCGAAGCCUUGGUGGCCUUCAAACACAGCAUCCGGGAUGAAUGGCUGAUACGUCUCCAACGUAUCUAUAAUUUUUGAUUGCUCCAUGCUAUAUUAUCUACUGUUUUGAAUGUUUAUGGGCUUUAUUAUACACUUUUAUAUCAUUUUUGGGACUAACCUAUUAACCCAGAGCCCAGUGCCAGUUUCUGUUUUUACCUUGUUUUAGGGUUUCGAAGAAAAGGAAAAUCAAACGGAGUCCAAUUGACCUGAAACUUCACGGAACUCAUUUGUGGAAGGAAAGAUGCCUUGAAAACUUGGAGUGCACGUCAGGGGAUCUACGAGGAGGCCACGAGGCAGGGGGCGCGCCCUCCACCCUCGUGGCCCCCCUGACAUACUUCUUCCACCUAUAUAUCUCCAUAUACCCUAAAAACAUCCGGGAACACAAUAGAUCGGGAGUUCCGCCACCAGAAGCCUCCGUAGCCACCGAAAGCCAAUCUAGACCCGUUCCGGCACCCUGUCGGAGGGGGAAUCCCACUCUGGUGGCCAUCUUCAUCAUCCCGGCGCUCUCCAUGACGAGGAGGGAGUAGUUCUCCCUCGGGGCUGAGGGUAUGUACCAGUAGCUAUGUGUUUGAUCUCUCUCUCUCUCUCUCUCUCUCUCGUGUUCUUAACUUGGCACGAUCUUGAUGUAUCGCGAGCUUUGCUAUUAUAGUUGGAUCUUAUGUUUCUUCUCCCCCUCUACUAUCUUGUAAUGGAUUGAGUUUCCCCUUUGAAGUUAUCUUAUCGGAUUGAGUCUUUAAAUAUUUGAGAACACUUGAUGUAUGUCUUGCCGUGCGUAUCUAUGGUGACAAUGGGAUACCACGUGAUUCACUUGAUGUAUGUUUUGGUGAUCAACUUGCGGGUUCCGCCCAUGAACCUAUGCAUAGGGGUUGGCACACGUUUUCGUCGUGAUUCUCCGGUAGAAACUUUGGGGCCCUCUUUGAGGUUCUAUGUGUUGGUUGAAUAGAUGAAUCUGAGAUUGUGUGACGCAUAUCGUAUAAUCAUACCCACGGAUACUUGAGGUGACAUUGGAGUAUCUAGGUGACAUUAGGGUUUUGGUUGAUUUGUGUCUUAAGGUGUUAUUCUAGUACGAACUCUAGGGUUGUUUGUGACACUUAUAGGAAUAGCCCAACGGAUUGAUUGGAAAGAAUAACUUUGAGGUGGUUUCGUACCCUACCAUAAUCUCUUCGUUCGUUCUCUGCUAUUAGUGACUUUGGAGUGACUCUUUGUUGCAUGUUGAGGGAUGGUUAUGUGAUCCAAUUAUGUUAUCCUUGUUGAGGGAACUUACACUUGUGAAAGUAUGAACCCUAGGCCUUGUUUCCUAUCAUUGCAAUACCGUUUAUGCUCACUUUUAUCACUUGCUACCUUGCUGUUUUUAUAUUUUCAGAUUACAAAAACUAUUAUCUACUAUCCAUAUACCACUUGUAUAACCAUCUCUUCGCCGAACUAGUGCACCUAUACAAUUUACCAUUGUAUUGGGUGUGUUGGGGACACAAGAGACUCUUUGUUAUUUGGUUGCAGGGUUGCUUGAGAGAGACCAUCUUCAUCCUACGCCUCCUACGCAUUGAUAAACCUUAGGUCAUCCACUUGAGGGAAAUUUGCUACUGUCCUACAAACCUCUGCACUUGGAGGCCCAACAACGUCUAUAAGAAGAAGGUUGUGUAGUAGACAUCAAGCUCUUUUCUGGCGCCGUUGUCGGGGAGGUGAGUGCUUGAAGGAUAUAUUUAGAUCUUGCAAUGAGUCUUUUAGUUUCUUGUUUUAUCACUAGUUUAGUUUAUAAAAGAAAAUUACAAAAAAAUGGAAUUGAGUUUGUCUCAUACACUUCACCUUUUUAAUAUCUUUCGUGAGUGUGAUGGAAAGGAUAAUUGUGCUCAAGUGCUAGAAGAAGAAAUCUAUAAAAUGUUUGGCACUAAAUAUGUGAAUGAUGAGCAUGAUUGCAAUGUUAUUAGUAUGAAUUCUUUGAAUAUCCAUGAUACUAAUGAUGAUUGCACUAGUUAUGAUGAAAAUGUCUCCUAUAAACAUGUCAAUUUUUGUGGAGUGCAUUGGGUUUAUAAGUACACACCAAAUAGAGAAGAUAGAUAUUGCAAGAAGCAUAAGUACUUAGAAACUAAACUGUUGCAAGAAAGGCUAGAUGAUUGUGCUGAAAAUUUAAAUUUUCCUGGCCAUACUUGUGAGCUUUGUAAUGAACGUGGUCAUUUAACUAUCCGAUGCAAAUUGUCUCAUGAUCUAAUCGUGUCCAAAAAUUGUGAUGACUUGAUUUUCCUUGCACAUUAUAAUGAACUUAGUUUUCUUAUGGACUACGAAUAAAUAAAAUGUAUAACUAACUAUCUUCCGGAAUUUUCCCGCUAUAAACUUCUUGGAUUUGAUCUUGAGGAAAUUUAUAUGUAUUGUGUGGUGAAUUGCAUUGAAAAUCCUUAUAUUGCCAACUACAUAAAGAAAAGAAAACAAAUAGAAGAUGAAGAGAAUAAUAAUGAAAGGGAAGAGACUUCCCAAUACCCUCCUAUUAUUUCUUAUGAUGAAUCAGGUAACGAGGAGGAGCCUCCUAUUCAACUAAUCUCAUUAAUAAGGAGCUCCACAAAGAAGAUUGAGCCCACACAUGAUGUGAUGAAGAAGAAGAAAAGAAAAAGGAAGAGAGGUAAAAAGAUAUCUCUCCCAAAUAAUGUCGCUCCUAUUACUAUUAUGCCUCAUGAAAGUAUAAUUGUGGAAGAUAAUGAUACUUCUUAUGAUCUUGAAAAUCUUUUUGGCACUUGCUUGGAAUAAUAUGAUGAUUGCUAUACUAUUGGUGCUAUCCAUACUAUUAAUGAUGAGAGUGAUUAUGCUUAUGAUAUUAAAAGGCCCAAGCUUGGGGAUGCUAUGUUUGAUGAAGAUGAUAUUUUUAGAAUAUAAUUGCUGAAAUUAAUGUUUGUCCCAAGCUUGGGGAUGCUACGUUUAAUGAAGAUGAUAUUUUUAGUCUCCCAAGUUUUGAUAUGCAAGUUUAUAAUGAUGAUAGCAUGCCUCCUACUUAUAAUGAUUAUUGUUAUGAUACUUAUGCUAUAAAAAGUAGUGAUUAUAUUUAUAAAACUUGUCAUGAUUAUGGUUACCCAUUUUUCUGAACAUUACUCUUUUAAUAUGGAAACAAUUUGUAGUAUUCGAGUCUCUUAUGAUACUCCCACUAUUCCGAAUGAGAAGAAUUUUGCUUAUGUGGAGAGUAGUAAAUUUUUUAUGCUUGUAGAUCAUGAAAAGAAUGCUUUAGGUGCUGGUUAUAUUGUUGAAUUCAUUCAUGACGCUACUGAAAAUUAUUAUGAGGGAGGAAUAUAUGCUUGUAGGAAUUGCAAUAAUAUCAAGUUUCCUCUCUAUGUGCUUAAAAUCUUGAAGCUAUGCUUGUUUUGCCCUCCUAUGCUAGUUGAUUAUUGUUCUCAUAACUUGUUUGCUCACAAAAUCCCUAUGCAUAGGAAGAGGGUUAGACUUAAAUUUUCUAGUCAUAUUCUUCAUGAUGCUCUCUUUAUGUUACAAUUCUUAUCUUCUAUAUGAGCAUCAUUGAAAUCAUCAUGCCUAGCUAGGGGCGUUAAACGAUAGCGCUUGUUGGGAGGCAACCCAAUUUUAUUUUUGUUCCUUGCCUUUUGCUCCUGUUUAGUCAUAAAUAAUUCAUCUAGCCUCUUUUUAGAUGAUGUUUUAUGUUUUAAUUAGUGUUUGUGCCAAGUAGAACCUUUGGGAAGACUUGGGUGAAGUCUUUAUGAUCAUGCUGUAAAAAACAGAAACUUUAGCGCUCACGAGAAUUGCUGCCAUUUUUAUUUGGAGAGUGAUAUUUAGUUAAUUCUUUUUGCAGAUGAUUAAUAGAUAUUUUCCUAAGGUCCAGAAAUUUAUUUGAGAAUUUUAUGAGUUCCAGAAGUAUACGUUUGAUCCAGACUAAUACAGACUGUUCUGUUUUUGACAGAUUCUGUUUUUCGUGUGUUGUUUGCUUAUUUUGAUGAAUCUAUGGCUAGUAAAAGAGUUUACAAACCAUAGAGAAGUCGGAAUACAGUAAGUUUAACACCAAUAUAAAUAAAGAAUGAGUUCAUUACAGUACCUUGAAGUGGUGAUUUAUUUUCUUAUACUAACGGAGCUUACGAGUUUUCUGUUAAGUUUUGUGUUGUGAAGUUUUCAAGUUUUGGGUAAGGAUUCGAUGGACUAUGGAAUAAGGAGUGGCAAGAGCCUAAGCUUGGGGAUGCCCAAGGCACUCCAAGGUAAUAUUCAAGGAUAGCCAAGAGCCUAAGCUUGGUGAUGCCCCAGAAGGCAUCCCCUAUUUCGUCUUCGUUCAUCGGUAACUUUACUUGGAGCUAUAUUUUUAUUUACCACAUGAUAUGUGUUUUGCUUGGAGCAUCAUUUUAUUUUAUUUAGUUUUGCUUGCUGUUUGAAUAAAAUAUCAUGAUCUUAAAUUCUUAAAUGUUAUAGAGUCUUCACAUAGUUGCAUAAUUAUUCAACUACUCAUUGAUCUUCACUUAUAUCUUUCGGAGUAGUUUGUUGUUGCUCCAGUGCUUCACUUAUAUCUUUUAGAGCACGGUGGUGGAUUUGUUUUAUAGAAACUAUUGAUCUCUCAUGCUUCACUUAGAUUAUUUUGAGAGUCUUAAACAACAUGGUAAUGUGCUUAAUCCUAAUAUGCUAGGUAUUCAAGAUUAGUAAAAACUUUCUUAGGAGUGUGUUGAAUACUAAGAGAAGUUUGAUGUUUGAUGAUUGUUUUGAGAUAUGGGGGUAAUAAUAUCAAAGUCGUGCUAGUUGAGUAGUUGUGAAAUUGAGAAAUGCUUGUGUUGAAGUUUGCAAGUCCCGUAGCAUGCACGUAUGGUAAACGUUAUGUAACAAAUUUGAAACAUGAGGUGUUAUUUGAUUGUCCUCCUUAUGAGUGGCAGUCGGGGACGAGCGAUGGUCUUUUCCUACCAAUCUAUCCCCCUAGGAGCAUGCACGUAGUGCCAAGGUUUUUGAUGACUUGUAGAAUUUUGCAAUAAGUAUGUGAGUUCUUUAUGACUAAUGUCGAGUCCAUGGAUUAUACACACUCUCACCCUUCCAUCCUUGCUAGCCUCUUCGGUACCGUGCAUUGCCCUUUCUCACAUUGAGAGUUGGUGCAAACUUCACCGGUGCAUCCAAACCCCGUGAUAUGAUACACUCUUUCACACAUAAACCUCCUUAUAUCUUCCUCAAAACAGCCACCAUACCUACCUAUUAUGGCAUUUCCAUAGCCAUUCCGAGAUAUAUUGCCAUGCAACUUUCCACCGUUCCGUUUAUUAUGACACGCAUCAUCAUUGUCAUAUUGCUUUGCAUGAUCAUGUAGUUUACAUCAUAUUUGUGGCAAAGCCACAGUUAAUAAUUUUUCAUACAUGUCGCUCUUGAUUCAUCGCAAUCCCGGUACACCACCGGAGGCAUUCAUAUAGAGUCAUAUCUUGUUCUAGUAUCGAGUUGUAAAUAAAUAGAAGUGUGAUGAUCAUCAUAGAGCAUUGUCCCAAAAAAAGAGAAAGGCCAAAAAAGGAGUCCAAAUAAAAAGAAGAGAGGCCAAAUAAAAAAAAGAAAGUCCAAAAAAAGGGGACAAUGCUACUAUCCUUUUUCCACACUUGUGCUUCAAAGUAGCACCAUGAUCUUUAUGAUAGAGAGUCUCUUGUUUUGUCACUUUCAUAGACUAGUGGGAAUUUUUCAUUAUAGAACUUGGCUUGUAUAUUCCAACAAUGUGCCUCCUCAAGUGCCCUAGGUCUUCGUGAGCAAGCAAGUUGGAUGCACACCCACUUAGUAUCUUUUGUUGAGCCUUCAUACAUUUAUAGCUCUAGUGCAUCCGUUGCAUGGCAAUCCCUACUCCUUGCAUUAACAUCAAUCGAUGGGCAUCUCCAUAGCCCAUUGAUUAGCCUCGUUGAUGUGAGACUUUCUCCUUUUUGUAUUCUCCACAUAACCCCCUCAUUAUUCUAUUCCACCCAUAGUGCUAUAUCCAUGGCUCGUGCUCAUGUAUUGCGUGAAAGUUUAUAGGUUUGAGAUUACUAAAGUAUGAAACAAUUGCUUGGCUUGUCAUCGGGGUUGUGCGUGAUGAGAGCAUUCUUGUGUGACGAAAAUGGAGCAUGACUAAACUGUAUGAUUUUGUAGGGAUGAACUUUCUUUGGCCAUGUUAUUUUGAGAAGACAUGAUUGCUUAGUUAAUAUGCUUGAAGUAUUAUUAUUUUUAUGUCAAUAUUAAACUUUUGUCUUGAAUCUUAUGGAUCUGAAUAUUCAUACCACAAUUAAGAAGAAUUACAUUGAAAUUAUGCCAACUAGCAUUCCACAUCAAAAAUUCUUCCUUUUAUCAUUUACCUACUCGAGGACGAGCAGAAAUUAAGCUUGGGGAUGCUGAUACGUCUCCAACGUAUCUAUAAUUUUUGAUUGCUCCAUGCUAUAUUAUCUACUGUUUUGAAUGUUUAUGGGCUUUAUUAUAUACUUUUAUAUCAUUUUUGGGACUAACCUAUUAACCCAGAGCCCAGUGCCAGUUUCUGUUUUUACCUUGUUUUAGGGUUUCGAAGAAAAGGAAAAUCAAACGGAGUCCAAUUGACCUGAAACUUCACGGAACUCAUUUGUGGAAGGAAAGAAGCCCAGAAAACUUGGAGUGCACAUCAGGGGAUCUACGAGGAGGCCACAAGGCAGGGGGCGUGCCCACCCCCUGGGCGCGCCCUCCACCCUCGUGGGCCCCUCGUGGCCCCCCUAACGUACUUCUUCCGCCUAUAUAUCUCCAUAUACCCUAAAAACAUCCGAGAACACAAUAGAUCGGGAGUUCCGCCGCCAGAAGCCUCCGUAGCCACCGAAAGCCAAUCUAGACCCGUUCCGGCACCCUACCAGAGGGGGAAUCCCUCUCCGAUGGCCAUCUUCAUCAUCCCGACGCUCUCCAUGAUGAGAAGGGAGUAGUUCUCCCUCGGGGCUGAGGGUAUGUACUAGUAGCUAUGUGUUUGAUCUCUCUCUCUCUCUCUCUCUCUCGUGUUCUUGAUUUGGCACGAUCUUGAUGUAUCGUGAGCUUUGCUAUUAUAGUUGGAUCUUAUGUUUCUUCCCCCCUCUACUCUCUUGUAAUGGAUUGAGUUUCCUCUUUGAAGUUAUCUUAUCGGAUUGAGUCUUUAAAGAUUUGAGAACACUUGAUGUAUGUCUUGCCAUGCGUAUCUGUGGUGACAAUGGGAUACCACGUGAUUCACUUGAUGUAUGUUUUGGUGAUCAACUUGCGGGUUCCGCCCAUGAACCUAUGCACAGGGGUUGGCACACGUUUUCGUCGUGAUUCUCUGGUAGAAACUUUGGGGCACUCUUUGACGUUCUAUGUGUUGGUUGAAUAGAUGAAUCUGAGAUUGUGUGACGCAUAUCGUAUAUUCAUACCCACGGGUACUUGAGGUGACAUUGGAGUAUCUAGGUGACAUUAGGGUUUUGGUUGAUUUGUGUCUUAAGGUGUUAUUCUAGUACGAACUCUAGGGCUGUUUGUGACACUUAUAGGAAUAGCCCAACGGAUUGAUUGGAAAGAAUAACUUUGAGGUGGUUUCGUACCCUACCAUAAUCUCUUCGUUCAUUCUCCGCUAUUAGUGACUUUGGAGUGACUCUUUGUUGCAUUUUGAGGGAUGGUUAUGUGAUCCAAUUAUGUUAUCCUUGUUGAGGGAACUUACACUUGUGAAAGUAUGAACCCUAGGCCUUGUUUCCUAUCAUUGCAAUACCGUUUAUGCUCACUUUUAUCACUUGCUACCUUGCUGUUUUUAUAUUUUCAGAUUACAAAAAACUAUUAUCUACUAUCCAUAUACCACUUGUAUAACCAUCUCUUCUCCAAAAUAGUGCACCUAUACAAUUUACCAUUGUAUCAGGUGUGUUGGGGACACAAGAGACUCUUUGUUAUUUGGUUGCAGGGUUGCUUGAGAGAGACCAUCUUCAUCCUACACCUCCUACGGAUUGAUAAACCUUAGAUCAUCCACUUGAGGGAAAUUUGUUACUGUCCUACAAACCUCUGCACUUGGAGGCCCAACAACGUCUACAAGAAGAAGGUUGUGUAGUAGACAUCAAUGGCUCGCCCGACACCUCGGCCAAGAGAAACCGAAGUCGAUGGCAGCCCUUACGGCACUUAUGACCCGCUUUUGCGCGGGCGAAGUUAGCUGGCUAGCUCAUAGUAAUAAGAGAACAAGCGAACCUGGCACCGCGGAAGCCAAGAAUAGCAACGACAAGCCCCGAGACAACAGACACAAGCGUUGAAACAACGGUGACAAUACCGACGACAUGGCGGUCAACGCCGGAUUCAGUGGGUCCAAGUCCGGCCAGCGGAAGAAGCCAUUCAAGAGGAACAAUUCGGGCCCAUACAGCUUGGACCGCAUACUCGAUCGCCCAUGCCAGAUACACGUCACUCCUGACAAACUAGCCAAUCACAACAACAGAGACUGUUGGGUUUUUAAACAGGCCGACAAGUUAAAUGCCGAGAACAAGGAGAAGGGGUCGCAAAGCAAAGACGAUGACGAGGAACCCUGGCCAUCGAACAUAGGGGGACAGAAGAAGUCCCCCCCCCCCCAAAUUAAAACGGUAAACNNNNNNNNNNNNNNNNNNNNNNNNNNNNNNNNNNNNNNNNNNNNNNNNNNNNNNNNNNNNNNNNNNNNNNNNNNNNNNNNNNNNNNNNNNNNNNNNNNNNNNNNNNNNNNNNNNNNNNNNNNNNNNNNNNNNNNNNNNNNNNNNNNNNNNNNNNNNNNNNNNNNNNNNNNNNNNNNNNNNNNNNNNNNNNNNNNNNNNNNNNNNNNNNNNNNNNNNNNNNNNNNNNNNNNNNNNNNNNNNNNNNNNNNNNNNNNNNNNNNNNNNNNNNNNNNNNNNNNNNNNNNNNNNNNNNNNNNNNNNNNNNNNNNNNNNNNNNNNNNNNNNNNNNNNNNNNNAAAACGGUAAACAUGAUAUACGCUACCCACAUACCCAAGAGAGAAUGCAAUCGCACACUCAGGGACGUCUACACGAUGGAGCCAGUCACCCCAAAGUUCAACCCAUGGUCUUCUUGCCCGAUCACUUUUGAUCGCAGGGACCAUCCGACCAGUAUCCGUCAUGGCGGUUCAGCCGCGCUGGUCCUCGACCCUAUCAUCGAUGAAUUUCACCUCACGCGAGUCCUCAUGGAUGGUGGUAGCAGCCUGAACCUGCUCUAUCAGGAUACAAUGCGCAAAAUGGGCAUUAAUCCAUCAAGAAUUAAGCCCACAAAGACUACCUUUAAAGGAGUCAUACAAGGUGUAGAGGCCCGUUGUAUGGGCUCAAUCACACUAGAGGUUGUCUUCGGAUCUCCGGACAAUUUCUGAAGCGAAGAGCUGAUCUUCGAUAUUGUCCCCUUUCGCAGCGGCUAUCACGCACUGCUCGGACGAACCGCAUUUGCAUGCUUCAACGUGGUGCCACACUAUGCUUAUCUUAAGCUCAAGAUGCCUGGCCCACGCGGCGUCAUAACAGUCAAUGGGAACACGGAACGCUCCCUCCGUACCGAGGAGCACACCACCGCGUUAGCAGUAGAAGUAGAGAGUGGCCUCUUCAAGCAGAACCUUAAUUCGCCGACCGAACUCCCGGACACUGUCAAACGAGUCCGGACUACUCCGCAGCAGGACAGACCGGCUCAUCAAGAGCUCGACUAGCAACUCGGCCUCCGUCCCCAUCCCAACCAAGAAGCAGCAUUCGUACCGCGUGUACAUAACUACACACUCAAAAUACCAUGGGCAUAGACGGAGGCAUAACUAUCUUGCGAUCCAUAAUACGGCUUGACCGCUCCUAGACACACAUACUUUCCAUUUUUCCAUUUUAUCCUUUUCAGGUCCUUUUUCCGCAGGUUUCUUCUGACGACCUGAUCAUCGGUCCUCUCGGCGGGACGGAUACACCAAGAUGGCAAGAAGCACUGGCGUACAAGGGAAUCCCUAGAUGGUCUUGAGGGAGUCCUGGAUUAAGGGGUCCUCGGGCGUCCGGCAUGUUAGCCAUGGGUCGGACUGAUGGGCUGUGAAGAUACGAAGACCGAAGGCUAUACUCGUGUCCAGAUGAGACUCUCCUUGGCGUGGAAGGCAAGCUUGACAACCGGAUAUGUAGAUUCCCUUCUUUGUAACCGACCUUGUGUAACCCUAGAUCCUCCUGGUGUCUAUAUAAACCGGAGGACUUAGUCUGGAUAGGACACCCAUUAUCAUAGCCAUACAAGCUAGACCUCUAGGGUUUAGCCAUUACGAUCUCGAGGUAGAUCAACUCUUGUAAUACUCAUACUCAUCAAUAUCAAUCAAGCAGGACGUAGGGUAUUACCUCCAUAGAGAGGGCCCGAACCUAGGUAAACAUCGUGUCCCUUGUCUCCUGUUACCAUCGACCUUAGACACACAGUUCGGGACCCCCUACCCGAGAUCCGCCGGUUUUGACACCGACAUUGGUGCUUUCAUUGAGAGUUCCACUGUGCUGUCGACAACAAGAUCGAUGUCUCGCCUUGUUUUCAAGGAUAAUAUUACCACCGGAGGAACGCUGGCUCCAGGCCAAACCCUCCCACUGGGCGGCUUUACCAUGACUGCCCGUUCAGCCAUUAAGCCGAUGAUGGCCUCUCGGGUCAUCAAAAACCCCCUUCUUAUCGACUCCGAAUACUCCAAGUAGAUGGAUCCAGUGGAGCUUUCGUCUUUAAACGAGCUCCAAGAUCGCAUCGCCGCCCUGGGGGUCGCUACAGACUACGAUCAGAUUGGUCUUAAACCCGAUCAGAGAGAAAUCAAAUCUCCGCCGAUCACCCACCAGAUAGCGGUAGUCGAGGAACGGGUCGAUAACUCUUCCUCCAUAUUAAGGAUGGACUAUGUAUGGAUCUCCGGUCUCGAAGAGCCGAACACCUACCCACGAGGUGAAGCGUCCUGCCCUCUGAACAUAGAAUCGGAUGACAGGCCUAAGAAAUCAGCGGACACACCAGAGCCCGAUCUGUUAAGUUCGGAAGACCUUCAAACUUCGGAUCCAAAACUGGGGCAGGGUUCAGAUUCAAAUCCACCCACCCACCCGAAUACAAGCGCUCCCACGAGCAUAAAACAGCAGUCUCAAGAAGCGGUCCACCACUUCUAGGCCAGAUUCCUUGUCAAAAACAAGAUUAAAGAUUGCCGCGACGAGGAAGCGAUCUCAGUGUUCCGUGACAAUUGCAGGGACGAAGGAAUCCUCAACGCAAUUAACCACCGUCGCAUCCUACACUUUGAUGACUAGGCAACCAUCGUACAGAAGUACAAUGCAAUGGGAAGCGUUUGGAAAACUCAAGCAGCUCGUUGGGAAUCAUCGGUCCCCACUCAACCCUUCAUUCAGGCGAAAAGGGCGCACCCUUGCAACACGCCCGGUUCAAUAGUAAAGAAAUACAAGUC